rnacentral:misc_RNA from 1 species
CCAAACUUGGUCAUUUAGAGGAAGUAAAAGUCGUAACAAGGUUUCCGUAGGUGAACCUGCGGAAGGAUCAUUAAAAGAACUUGUGCCCGAGACAUUCGUGUCCAAGGCCCCACACUGUGUGCACCGUUUACCGUUCUUUUUGGCAGGGGCUUUGGGUUUCUUUUCCCUUCCCCCUUGUGGGAGAGAGAAGAGGAACUCGAACUUCUCCUUCGACUCUAUCCUCCUCCCCUGGGAAGAGAGGACAGUCGGACAUGGGAAGCAGUUUACCCUGCCAAGUGAAUAUUUAAACACGCUUUUUUGUCUGAACAAAUCCUUUUAAUAAAUUGCGACCAUGAAAUUUUUCGUGGAAUGCAAAAAACCAAACAUAACUUUCAACAACGGAUCUCUUGGCUCUCGCAUCGAUGAAGAACGCAGC